AGAGGACGUGAAACCGAUGAGAUGGAAACGGAAAGAGGUACCGAAAAUGCUCGUAUUCAGCUGCCUUUUUGCGUGUGCCUUGCCUUUGCGAUCCCGCUAGGGUUGUGAGGUGCGGUUUCAUGCGGACUGGCAGUGCAUUUGCGAGUAAUGUGCGCUGCGGCGUGUGGUUAGGUCAUCUGAUGUGCGAUUAGAGGACUCCUUUUGGAGAAACCUGGUUGCGCGGAUGUUGAUUCGAACUGCAUGUUGAGGAAUUGGCCAACGUGCGGGGUGGCUGCUAAGGUCGUUCCUUGCGUAAAUCGCAUGCGAUUUGCGCUUGCGGAUAGCCUUGAUAGUCGCUUCGUGAACAGUUCCGACCGCAGUGUCAAAGGUGCUCAUCUUUCCGACCCGUCUUGAAACACGGACCAAGGAGUAUACAGUAUGUGCGAGUCAUUGAGUUCUAAACUCAAAGGCGUAAUGAAAGUAAAGAUUCCGUAAGGUUUUGAUAUGCGAUCUCGGUUGCCUCGGUAGCUGAGAGCAGCAUAGCCCCGUCUUGACUGCUUGCAGUAGGGCGGAGGUAGAGCGCAUGCUAUGUGACCCGAAAGAUGGUGAACUAUGCUUGAACAGGAUGAAGCCAGAGGAAACUCUGGGUGGAAGUCCGAAGCGAUUCUGACGUGCAAAUCGAUCGUCUGAUUUGAGUAUAGGGGCGAAAGACUAAUCGAACCAUCUAGUA
rnacentral:rRNA from 1 species